CAUGCCAUGCUUAUUAGAUUUGGCUCAGUGAUAUUUAUGCUAUUAUUUUUUGUUGUUUUAUUCUUAUAAAUCUCAGACUUCAGCAAAAUUUCUUGUAUCAGGUCCAUAGUUGUUUUUAAUAACUUAACUUCAUUUCAUUUGGUUUCAGUGUCAAAAUUCAAUAGCUUUUAUAUUAGCAUGCUAUUCUGUUGUCCCUUUUCCACAUCUGAUCUAUGCUUAUUAAUUAUUUUUUGCACUGACGUAGUAGUGAAACCAAUAUUGACUUUGUCCCUACCAGUGCCAUUAUUCUUUGUGUACUUCAUAUACACCUGGUUAUCUCAACAAAAGAAUGUACAUGAGACAACUGGGCACUUUUUAAUUUUAAAUCCUUUUUCCCUUAAUUUUUAAAUUGCUAUAUUAAUAACUGUUACCCUAAUGAUAUCAUCAUCAUCAUUGUAUAAUAAUGGAUGACAUUACAAAACACUAAUAAAUCUUGAUGUCAUAAUGUCUGAAAUUGUGAUGAUGAUAUAAUUGUAGGGGCAUGAUACUGUGACAUCUAUCUGAUUAUUAACAUUACAGUUACAUACACAAAUAAUAUUCCUACUCUGCUAAUACUUUGCAUCAUCUAUUGUCAAUAAUAUAAACU
rnacentral:lncRNA from 1 species